UACGAAGGGGGCUAGCGUUGCUCGGAAUCACUGGGCGUAAAGGGCGCGUAGGCGGAUCUUUAAGUCAGGGGUGAAAGCCUGAGGCUCAACCUCAGAAUUGCCUUUGAUACUGAAGAUCUUGAGACCGGAAGAGGUAAGUGGAACUGCGAGUGUAGAGGUGAAAUUCGUAGAUAUUCGCAAGAACACCAGUGGCGAAGGCGGCUUACUGGUCCGGUUCUGACGCUGAGGCGCGAAAGCGUGGGUAGCAAACAGG
rnacentral:rRNA from 1 species